CAAGAUCUCAGGAGGAACCAUCUCCUCCACAAAGAAACACAGCAGCAACCCCAGAGCACCCAAUUUAUGGGAUGUCUCCGACCAAACCCUCCCACCCUGUCCCAGAUGAUGAUAAUUAACCUCUCUUCCCACAGAGCACGGCGAGCAGGGAGAGCUUGGAGGUCUGAGUGAGGACAGGCCUUCUACUGUUUAAAAACAUUUGCUCCCUGGCCUGAACUGCAAGACACGACCAAGAACCGGGUGACUGUGUGCACUCUGUACUCUGAAGAAGACCAAGCUGAGGAAGAAAAGGGUCCCAAAAUGACCCC